CCACAUGAUAAGUAACAUGCCACAAUAAAUAGCAUGUCUUGGGUGUUGGCCUGUGUUGCAUUAUAUUGCGAAUUCACAAUGAGAUGCUAUGGUCCAGACCGGAACAGUUUGGUGCCUUGUUAGGCUAAAAUGACUUAGCUUAUAUUUAUAUGCUAAUUCUAGCAUCAGCUAGAAUGCCCGGUUAGAGUAUGACCUGUGAUGUUUGUGACAUAGAGGCGGCC
rnacentral:lncRNA from 1 species